GAUCAUGGCUCAGGAUGAACGCUGGCGGCGCGCUUAACACAUGCAAGUCGAACGGUUAAAGCACCUCCGGGUAUGCAUAAAGUGGCGAACGGCUGAGUAACACGUGGGCAACCUGCCCCCCGCACCGGGAUAGCCUCGGGAAACCGUGGGUAAUACCGGAUACUCCGCCACCCCCGCAUGGGGGAGGCGGGAAAGCGUACACGGCGGGGGAUGGGCCCGCGGCCUGUUAGCUCGUUGGCGGGGUAACGGCCCACCAAGGCGAUUAUGGGUAGCCGGGUUGAGAGACCGACCGGCCAGAUUGGGACUGAGACACGGCCCAGACUCCUACGGGAGGCAGCAGUGGGGAAUCUUGCACAAUGGGCGAAAGCCUGAUGCAAGCGACGCCGCGUGCGGGACGAAGGCCCUCGGGUUGUAAACCGCUUUCAGCAGGGACGAGGCGCAAGUGACGGUACCUGCAGAAGAAGCCCCGGCUAACUACGUGCCAGCCGCUGC
rnacentral:rRNA from 1 species